GACGUAGGGUCCAAGCGUUGUCCGGAUUUACUGGGCGUAAAGAGCGCGUAGGCGGUCUGUUAAGUGUAGAGUGAAAUCUCCAGGGCUCAACCCGGAAACUGCUCUGCAUACUGGCAGACUGGAGGGAUGCAGAGGUUUGUGGAAUUCCUGGUGUAGCGGUGAAAUGCGUUGAUAUCAGGAGGAACACCCAUGGCGUAAGGCAGCAAACUGGGCAUC
rnacentral:rRNA from 1 species